rnacentral:rRNA from 1 species
UACGUAGGGUCCAAGCGUUAUCCGGAAUCACUGGGCGUAAAGCGUGCGUAGGCGGGAGUCUAAGUGAGACGUUAAAUCGUGUGGCUCAACCAUAUCGAUGCGUCUCAUACUGGGCACCUAGAGGAAGGCAGAGGCAAGUGGAACUGGUAGUGUAGCAGUGAAAUGCGUAGAGAUUACCAAGAACACCAAUGGCGAAGGCAGCUUGCUGGGCCUUUUCUGACGCUGAGGUACGAAAGCGUGGGGAGCGAACAGG